CCUACGGGGGGCAGCAGUGAGGAAUAUUGGUCAAUGGGCGAGAGCCUGAACCAGCCAAGUCGCGUGAGGGAAGACGGUCCUACGGAUUGUAAACCUUUUUUGUCAGGGAGCAAGGAGCGCCACGAGUGGCGCGGCGAGAGUACCUGAAGAAAAAGCAUCGGCUAACUCCGUGCCAGCAGCCGCGGUAAUACGGAGGAUGCGAGCGUUAUCCGGAUUUAUUGGGUUUAAAGGGUGCGCAGGCGGAAGCGGCAAGUCAGCGGUAAAAUUGUGGGGCUAAACCCCGCCGGGCCGUUGAAACUGCUGUGCUAGAGUGGGCGAGAAGUAGGCGGAAUGCGUGGUGUAGCGGUGAAAUGCAUAGAUAUCACGCAGAACACCGAUUGCGAAGGCAGCAUACCGGCGCCCAACUGACGCUCAUGCACGAAAGCGUGGGUAUCGAACAGGAUUAGAUACCCUAGUAGUC
rnacentral:rRNA from 1 species